CAUUUCUGUUUUAGUUGUUGCGGAAAGUAACAACAAUCCGGCAGAUGCGGAUGCCGUACCGGUGGAUCCGGUCGGGCCAAGCAGAGUCGAUCGGAAGUUGUGCGGAAAACAACAGCAAUUCGGCGGACGCGGGUGCCGCACCGAAGGAUUCGGUUCGGGCCAAGCAGAGUCGGCUUGAAGAGUUGAAGCGGAACGUGGCCGGC